AGAUUCAAAGCAUUCUUCUAACUCAGUAGUUUCCUCUUUUAGACCUCCAGAGCCUUUGGCAAAUCGCCCAAGGUAUCCAAACUCAGGGAGUUCCUCUGUGGAAUGGAAGUCAGUACGACACCCUCUGAGGCUACUGUAACGAUGAAAUGAGAAGACCCGCGUGGGGAUCAGGACAUGUUCGCCCUCGUCAUGGUUUGGCCCAGUUGUUCAGCACAUUGGUUCCAGUGCCAGCCUUGGAUCCGGCCUUGACAUCUAUCAGAAAGUUCUUUAACUCCUCUGAUCCUGUAUUUCCUCGACUGUCACCAGGAGGAAAGAUUACCAACUCUCUAUGGUUCUCGAGAUUGGUAAAUGAGGUUAGCUUUUCCACACUGCCAGACACACAGUGACUACACAUGAUGAACUAUUUUCACUAUUCUGUAAGUAGAACUUUAUGGACUAGGCACUUCUCCUGCCCUUCCUCCAUUCUCUACCCCAGUUCUUGACAUUCUGAGACUGUAUUGCCCGAUUCUCUUUGUUUAAAUGUAAGCUGCUAGAAAAGCCUCAAUUCACUGAAACGAUUCUCUUGCUCCUGGGGGAUACAAGCAGAGGUGUGACAGUGGCAGAAACAGAAACCUUACCUGUGCAAAGCUUUGCUAGCUCCUGUCUGCUCUCCACUCCUCUCCCUGCUUGGUCCUGUGGGCUUAGAGAUGGGUUCAGACCCUGUUGAGGUGCCAGGCCGUGGUUUAAUCUACAUUCUGGAGGAAGAACCUGAGGCUCAGGAAAGACCUCAGACUAACUUCCAGGUCCAUUUGCCAAACAGCCAGAUCUUUGUUGAAUUCUAAGGUCCAGAGAGACCCACAUCUCAUAUACACACACAUGUACACACACAUACAAAUGCAAAAUUUUACAGUAGAAAUCUAAAUCUUUUAGCCAGGUGUGGUGGCACAUGCUUGUAAUUCCAGCACUCAGGAGGCUGAGGCAAGAGGAUUGUUGUGGGUUCGAGACCAGCCUGGGCUACAAAGUGAGCUCAAGGCCAGCCUGAACUGCAUAAUGAGAACAUCUCUCAAAAAGGAAAAAAAGAAAGAAAAAAAGAAAACUAAAUCUUUGUGUCAAUUCAAAUCAACACAACGCAAUUCCAGUGAGAUAGAUGCAUUUUGAGAUCCUUUGCCAAUUCAAAGACAAAAGACUAUUUCACUGAAGAGAUUUAGGGAUUUAGCCAACGGAUGGGGGGGGUCUUUUAUUUAUUUGUUUAUUUGUUUACAGCACUGGGAAUUGAAUCCAGGAUCUUCCCAUUGAACUAUCUGACCAGCCCUUUUUUUUUUUUUUUUUUUUUUUUUUUUUUUUGAGACAGGGUCUCACAAUGUAGUUUAGGCAGGUCUCUAUCUCACUAUGUAGCCCAGGUUGGCCUCCAAUGCACAUCAAUUCUGCUGCCUCAGCCUCCCAGAGUGCUGGGAUUAGAGGUGUGUACCACCAUACACAACUAGGUUAGGAGGCAUUUUAGAAAUUCUACUCCUAUAAUAACAUAAUUUCCAUGUUAAUGAUUGUUUUGCUAAUAGAGUAAUAACAAUGACUACGACAACUACAGAACUGUGAUGUAGAGAUAUGGUGUCAUGUCUGUUAUGUAAAUAUUUCAUUCACUCUUAACUGAAACCCGGACAGUAUUUUUAUUAUCAGUUUAUGAAGGAAAAAAAUUAAGAGCCCAGGACUCAGAAAGAAUUUUCUCAGGAUUGCACAAGUAUUCAUUGCUGUACGUUGGACUUGACAGUGAGCUGGUGUGUCCUUGGGUACGGAGUGUGGCCUCCCUGUGACACUGGAAAAGCUAUGUGCUGGAGAGACCCUUGUGAGCAGGGCUGGACAUCUGCCUUAUUUUUCUUUAUGCAUAUUUCCCCGCCCUUCUUGCAUGGAUGCCUGAAAACACAAGCUUCGAUGACUAUAGAGACCUUGACUAAAUCCUAUGGUGAUGCGGCCGUGGGAAGAGUGUUCCUGGCACCCAGGGCAAGGUUGCUGAGCAGCGUGGUCAUCAGCGUCUCAGCUUCCUUGGAUCCCAAGAGCACAUGUGUGUCCUCCAUUUGGGGCGCUUUCUCCCUGGGCUCCGCUUGCUGCAGCCUUAUCUGGUUGUCAUGACCAUACUGUCAGCAGGGAAGACUGACGUGGCACAGAGACAAUGGGUAUGGAUGGUGCCCGUCCCAGGAUUCAGGAAACGUGGUUCUUCUGCCUGCUCGCAUCCGACCCUAACCAUGUUCAGUGUACUCUUUUCCUUUGCUUUCAUGGCAUAUUCCAAAUGGCUUACAAAGCCGUGCAGUUUGUGCAUAGUCAAGAUAAGUUCUUGCUCAAUGUCCUUAUCGCAUCAUUUGUGUUAGGAUAUUUCCCUAGUCCGUUUUUCCACGUAUAUGCGUCUGUUUCCUUGGAUAAGACAACAACAGCAAAUGCUUUUGCUCCAUCCCAGGACCUAGGAAAGAGCUGCGCCAAGAGAGUUUGGAAUGGAGGCAAAACCCAUUUUGGAGAGCCCAGUGUGUGUUGAAAAAGAAAGUAACCAAAUAGAUGUGUUGUGUCCAUAUCCUGAAUAUGGUCCCAGGCCUUUUGCCAGGUAGUCAGUGAACGGUUUUGUAUGAAUUUGAUUUCUUUCCAUUAGGAAAAUUACUGAAUUUCUGAAUUAAUAGAGUAGCACGGGAGGAGUAAGGUCUCUCAGUCAACCGUGCAGAGCCAAUGAUGGUUUGUAAAAUGGGUCCAUAAAUAACAAAUGACUUUAAGAACUCUGGGUGACCUAGUAGCUCAUGGUGAGUGACCUCCUCGAUGUAUUAUUCAUGUCUUUCCUAAUAUAACAACUUCCCCCACUCUGGC